rnacentral:rRNA from 1 species
GAGGAGCCUGCGGCGGAUUAGCUAGUUGGUGAGGUAAUGGCCCACCAAGGCGACAAUCCGUAGCCGGCCUGAGAGGGCGGUCGGCCACACUGACACUGACACACGGGUCAGACUCCUACGGGAGGCAGCAGUCGGGAAUUUUGGGCAAUGGGCGAAAGCCUGACCCAGCAACGCCGCGUGAAGGAUGAAAUCCCUCGGGAUGUAAACUUCGCAAGAACGGGAAGAAUAAGCCUGAGCGAAUAACUCAGGCGAUGACGGUACCGUUUGUAAGCUCCGGCUAACUCCGUGCCAGCAGCCGCGGUAAUACGGGGGGAGCAAGCGUUGUUCGGAUUUACUGGGCGUAAAGGGCGCGUAGGCGGCCAUCGCAAGUCAAUUGUGAAAUCUCCGGGCUUAACUCGGAACGGUCAACUGAUACUGCGGGGCUAGAGUGCGGAAGGGGCAACUGGAAUUCUCGGUGUAGCGGUGAAAUGCGUAGAUAUCGAGAGG